GACGAACGCUGGCGGCGUGCUUAACACAUGCAAGUCGAACGGUGAAGCGCCUUCCUUUUUGGUGGGUGUGGAUGAGUGGCGAACGGGUGAGUAACACGUGAGUAACCUGCCCCCUUCUUCUGGAUAACCGCAUGAAAGUGUGGCUAAUACGGGAUAUUCUGGGUCUGUCGCAUGAUGGGUCUGGGAAAGAUAUUGUUUCGGUGGGGGAUGGGCUCGCGGCCUAUCAGCUUGUUGGUGGGGUGAUGGCCUACCAAGGCGGUGACGGGUAGCCGGCCUGAGAGGGUGGACGGUCACACUGGGACUGAGACACGGCCCAGACGACUACGAGAGGCAGCAGUAGGGAAGAUUGCACAAUGGGCGCAAGCCUGAUGCAGCGACGCCGCGUGAGGGAUGGAGGCCUUCGGGUUGUGAACCUCUUUCGCCAGUGAAGCAGGCCUGCCUCGUUUGUGGGUGGGUUGACGGUAGCUGGAUAAGAAGCGCCGGCUAACUACGUG
rnacentral:rRNA from 1 species